AUGUGUGUUCCAAAAGACCAAUGAGGAAUGGGUUUCUGUGAUAUACACUGCUUUGACCUGGCUUUGUUAGCGAAACAAGCAUGGCAUCUCUUGGAUAAUCCUGAAUCGUUAUGUGCAACAAUCCUAAGAGCCAAGUAUUUCCUGGAGGGCGAUUUGAUGAGCGUAGUAUUAAAGAAGGGCUCCUCCUUUACUUGUCAAAGCAUUAUGGCGGGAGUGGACUCUCUCAGGAAUGGCUAUAUAUGGGCAGUGGGAAAAGGAGAAAAUAUUGACAUAUGGAGAGAUGCAUGGAUCCCAAAUUGUGCAGAUAGGAAAAUUAUUACACCUAGAAGGGGAAAUCUCCCAACAAAAGUUUCUGAUCUUAUUGACCCAGUCACGAAUUGUUGGGAUGAAAAUUUGGCGAGACAAACUUUGUGGCCAAUUGAUGCCCGUAGAGUCCUAGCGAUCCCGAUCCCUAUACAUAAUAUGUCAGACUUCAUUGCUUGGAGCUAUACAAAAAAUGGUUUAUUCACUGUAUGAUCAGCUUAUGUGGAGGGAUGAAAUAAGCAAUAUGGGAGGAAAUUGGAAUACUCAAACGGCAUGGGUAGAAGUAAGGUCAACACUAUUUGGGGUAAGAUUUGGAAAUGAGCUUGCCCGGCGAAGGUUAAAAUUUUUAUUUGGUGGACGCUUCAUGAGACUCUACCGUGUCGCGCUACAUUGGCUAACAGACAUAUAAAAACUCAGCCAAGCUGCCCAGCAUGUUUGGAUAGGCCAGAAGACAUGAAACGUAUAUUAUUUUUGUGCCAAAAGGCAAAAGAAGUGUGGGAAUAUUUGGGGUUGUAUAAAGUGGUCAUUGACCGUGCAGGAGAGGCAGUCCUUGAAUUCUUACUCCUUACGCCUGAUCAUGAACUACCCAUUCUGGAGUCCCGGAAUGCAGGGGAACUAAUCACUAUAGCUGCUUAG
rnacentral:rRNA from 1 species